rnacentral:rRNA from 1 species
GUAGGGAAUAUUGGGCAAUGGAUGCAAGUCUGACCCAGCCAUCCCGCGUGCCGGAAGAAGGCCCUCAGGGUUGUAAACGGCUUUUGACGGUGAAGAAUCGACAGGAUGCGUCCUGUUUUGACGGUAGCCGUUGAAUAAGCACCGGCUAACUCCGUGCCAGCAGCCGCGGUAAUACGGAGGGUGCGAGCGUUGUCCGGAUUUAUUGGGUUUAAAGGGUGCGUAGGCUGGAAGGUCAGUCAGUGGUGAAAAGCUGUCGCUUAACGAUAGUCUUGCCGCAGAUACUUCCUUUCUUGGAUGAGGAGGAGGCCACUGGAACGGAUGGUGUAGCGGUGAAAUGCAUAGAUAUCAUCCAGAACACCGAUUGCGAAGGCAGGUGGCUGUACCUUAAUCGACGCUGAUGCACGAAAACAUGGGGAGCAAACAGGAUUAGAAACCCGAGUAGUCC